AGCGAACGCUGGCGGCAGGCUUAACACAUGCAAGUCGAGCGGGCACUUUCGGGUGUCAGCGGCGGACGGGUGAGUAACGCGUGGGAACGUGCCCUCUGGUUCGGAAUAACUCAGGGAAACUUGAGCUAAUACCGGAUACGCCCUUUUGGGGAAAGGCUUGCUGCCGGAGGAUCGGCCCGCGUCUGAUUAGCUAGUUGGUGAGGUAACGGCUCACCAAGGCGACGAUCAGUAGCUGGUCUGAGAGGAUGAUCAGCCACACUGGGACUGAGACACGGCCCAGACUCCUACGGGAGGCAGCAGUGGGGAAUAUUGGACAAUGGGCGCAAGCCUGAUCCAGCCAUGCCGCGUGAGUGAUGAAGGCCUUAGGGUUGUAAAGCUCUUUUAUCCGGGACGAUAAUGACGGUACCGGAGGAAUAAGCCCCGGCUAAUUUCGUG
rnacentral:rRNA from 1 species